GACGAACGCUGGCGGCGUGCUUAACACAUGCAAGUCGAACGGAAAGGCCCUGCUUUUGCGGGGUGCUCGAGUGGCGCACGGGUGAGUAACCCGUGAGUAACCUGCCCUUGACUUUGUGAUAACUUCAGGAAACUGCGGCUAAUACCGGAUAGGAGCUCCUGCUGCAUGGUGGUCGUUGGAAAUCUUCGGCGGUAGUGGAUGGACUCGCGGGUAAUCAGCUUGUUGGUGGGGUAGUGGCUUACCAAGUCUUUGACGGGUAGCCGGCAUGAGAGGUGUGACAGCGACCUGGGGCCUAAGGGAGGGACCAGAAGGGAAUGGGAGGCAGAGGGGGGGAAUAUUGCACAGUGGGGGGAAGCGUGUGGCGGAGGCGCCGGGAGCGGAAUGCCGGCCUUCGGGUGGUAAACCGCUUUCGCAUGUGACGAAGCGUGAGUGACGGUAAUGGGUAAAGAAGCACCGGCUAACUACGUG
rnacentral:rRNA from 1 species